rnacentral:lncRNA from 1 species
GAGUAUCUUGAUGAAUAAUACUUUACAAAUCCAAAACGAAGGCAAACACAACCAUGAUGGACUCAAUACCGAAAUGGUGAAAGAGGCAGGAUCGGGAAAUGACUGCUUUGUCCUUUUGCCUCGGGCACCAGUAGGGCUCCAACCACACAAAUUUACCCGUCUUUAUUUAAAGCUUUAAUAUUUUGUUAUUAUUGGAUUUUUUUGGCAUUACUCUUGAUUUCUUAAAUUGCAUCAGAAUAUCAUUUAUCUUGAUUACGGGUGUAGUUUGGGUUUGGGGUGGAAUUUUUGUUUUGGUUUUUAUUUUGCUGUUUGGAUUGUGCGUUUUUGUUUUUGUUUUUUUGCCUGGGACUCUCUGGCCUCACACGACUUCUUCCUAGCCAUGGGCCUCCCCCUUCUCUUCUGCCUGGGACCCCCUACCCCAGGGCUCUGGACCUCUUAACCUCACUAGAUCUCACCUCCUCUCUUCUGAUUGUCCUAGGACAGGGAGAAUGGACCAGGUGAGGAAAGAGACUCCCGGGAGCCUCCAGAAAGGCACGGCCCUGCCGAGACCUUGACUGACACGCUCAGCCCAGCCUCUGCUAUCACUCAGACCGGACAGGGAGAGGACCCGGGGUCUGUGACUAUUUACAGCACCAACGCACUGCUGCCACUGAUCCUGGAAUGGAGGACUGAGAAGGACAGGCUGAAUAUCAGCUUGUGGAGGCAUUGGCCCCAGUCAGCCAAUCAAACAGACUUUUCAGUGUUGUGGGAUGCUGUUCUCCGCUGUGAUUCAGCCCACAAUCAGCUGACUUUAAGGAGGAGAGAUUCUCCCAAUGACCUGGCCCAAUCAGGUGAAGGCUUUCAAAGCAGGGCUGAGGCUCCCCGAGAAGGAGGAAUUCUGCCUGUGGGCACAGCCUCAGAGGAGCCGAGAGCCCGCCUGUGCUCGGAGCCUCCUGUGGCCCGGGCCUGCCCUGCCCAACCCCACAGUCGCCUAAGCCAACUCCUCUCCAAAAACCCUGCAUGUGACCUCCUCCCGCCACCUCUCUGGCUGGCCCUGACCUGGACAGGGACCCUGGAACAUGGCCCCUCACAAACCAGCCCGGGUGCUGUCGAGCCAAAGCUGGGACAGAACGCCUGGGACAGAAUGAUUGCGUCGUUGGGCUGUGACACCCCUCGGCAUCCACUGAGAGACCCAGCAGGGCAGCAGCCGCUGACCCAUCUGCAAGAUCCUUUGGUCACCAUCUCCUGUCAGCGAGGAAACUGAGGCUCAGAGGGUCCCAUGUGGAGACCACCAGGACCACCCACAUGGCCCAUGGUAGCUGGAAGCAGGUGCGGUUCCUACUCCCUGAGCACCUGCCUGGCACUGGGCUUCACAUCACCUCGGGGUCCCUCGAGCACCCCUCCCCCAGUCCGCUCCCUUGUGAGGCCGACAGGAAGUCUGGAAGAAGCGAUGGCAGGUGACAGCAUCACACCCUGAAAGCCAGCGUGGAGAAGGAAGGGCCCCAGCCCAGGCAGUGGGACACAGGAUCUGCUAAAGCUCCCUGGGGGCGGGGGGCUCUGAGAAACGCUCCGUAGGGCUGAGAAGGAG